UUUGGAGCGAUUGAAAGUCCUAGUUAGUGGUUAACUCAACAAAAAUGCAAAGCAAUUGGAAUAGCGUUGACAAAACUUGGAGUGGAUCUCCUCGGAGCUCUAUGUAUGACUAUAACACAUCUGCGGGUCGUAUCAUCUUCAAUACCAUGAUGAAUUGGCCAAAGAAAGUGUUGCAAAUAUCAGAUAGUGAUGGAGUGACCGUGACAUGCGAACAGGCCCUCACGUGGGCCAUUCGCAUAGCUCAGUUCUUCAA